UACGUAGGGUGCGAGCGUUGUCCGGAAUUACUGGGCGUAAAGAGCUCGUAGGUGGUUUGUCGCGUUGUUCGUGAAAACUCACAACUCAAUUGUGGGCGUGCGGGCGAUACGGGCAGACUGGAGUACUGCAGGGGAGACUGGAAUUCCUGGUGUAGCGGUGGAAUGCGCAGAUAUCAGGAAGAACACCCGUGGCGAAGGCGGCUUUCUGGGACGGUACUGACGCUGAGACGCGAAAGCGUGGGGAGCGAACAGG
rnacentral:rRNA from 1 species